rnacentral:rRNA from 1 species
CCUACGGGUGGCAGCAGUAGGGAAUAUUGCUCAAUGGGGGAAACCCUGAAGCAGCAACGCCGCGUGGAGGAUGAAGGUUUUAGGAUUGUAAACUCCUUUUGUUAGAGAAGAUUAUGACGGUAUCUAACGAAUAAGCACCGGCUAACUCCGUGCCAGCAGCCGCGGUAAUACGGAGGAUGCGAGCGGUAUCCGGAUUUAUUGGGGUAAACGGUUGCUCAGGCGGUAGAUCAAGUCAGCGGUAAAAUUGGGGGGCUCAACCUCUUCGAGCCGUUGAAACUGGGUUUCUUGAGGGAGUGAGAAGUAUGCGGAAUGCGUGGUGUAGCGGUGAAAUGCAUAGAUAUCACGCAGAACUCCGAUUGCGAAGGCAGCAUACCGGCGCUUAACUGACGCUCAUGCACGAAAGUGUGGGUAUCGAACAGGAUUAGAUACCCUAGUAGUC